UCGACGUAGUGGGACUAAACGAUCUGAAGUUCCGAACACGGUGGUGCCCUAAAUAGCAGUGUGGAACGCCAACCCAAUCCCAGAGUCCAGUAACUGUUUUUCCGUUUCUGAGACUACACGGUCAGGAGAAAAUGCUUUUUCUUGUGCAACCCUUCCCGCCAAUUCCUGGGUUUUGGUCUUCGACGUCCAGGAAUGGUGAAAUAGCUUCGGCUUCAACUUCAUUGGCAGCGCACAGACGCUCAAGAAGCAUCAGAAGUUCUCAUGGUUAUGGGGUGGCGAAAGGUGGAGGCAGAAGCGAAGAUGACUAUCAUGCAACUCUCAAGGCACUCAAAUCAAGAGGUCGUACUCCUAGAAGAUCUCUUGGCCAGCAUUACAUGUUGAAUUCCUCCAUUAACGAACAACUUGUCAGUGCCGCCAAUGUUACAGAUGGAGAUGUGGUCCUAGAAAUAGGACCUGGGACUGGUUCCCUGACCAGUAUUCUUUUAAACGCUGGUGCAACUGUUCUUGCAAUUGAAAAGGAUCCACACAUGGUAACACAUGUAAGAGAGCGGUUUGCAAGCAUAGAUCACUUCACGGUUUUGCAAGAGGACUUCACAAAGUGUCACAUCCGCUUCCAUAUGCAGUCAUUGUUGGAAAGUGGAAAGUUGUUGAAGACAAAUUCAAGAUAUGCAAAAGUAGUCUCCAAUAUACCUUUCAAUAUAAGUACUGAUGUGGUGAAGCAACUUCUUCCGCUGGGUGACAUUUUUACUGAAGUAGUCCUUUUACUCCAGGAUGAAACAGCUUUACGCUUGGUGGAUGCAUCUUUGCGGACGUCUGAGUAUCGACCCAUAAAUAUUUUUGUGAACUAUUACUCAGAUCCUGAAUAUAAAUUUAAGGUCCUUAGGUCAAAUUUUUUCCCUCAACCCAAUGUUGAUGCAGCUGUCGUUAGAUUUCAGCUCAAACAAACUGCAGACUAUCCGCCAGUCCCCUCAACUAAAAGUUUCUUUUCAAUGGUCAAUUCUGCAUUCAAUGUGAAGCGUAAGAUGCUGCGGAAAUCGCUUCAGCACCUAUGCAAACCCCUUGAGAUUGAAAAAGCACUCGGAAGUGUGGGUCUUCCAGCUACUUCAAGACCAGAGGAGCUUACGUUGGAAGAUUUUGUGAGAUUGCAUAAUCUGAUUGUGAAAGACUAAUUUUUCGGGCUUCCUCGAAAGGACCAGUUCAUACCGCACCCUGAGGUGGGCAUGCAAGCCUUAUGUUCUACAAUUUUGAUUGGAAGGAAGAUCACAAAUAGUGAAAGAGGAAUGCUUAUGGGGUACAUUUGAUUUCGCUGGUCAUCAUCCUCUCAUGUGGUACAUCAGAAUGUGAAGACCGAUGUUCUAGCCGAGGACACAUUCGUUGGGUGGGUUCAGGGAGAAUAUUUGGCACAGAAGUGACAGAACAACUACAUUUUGUAGCGUCAUCAAUGAAUAUGAUCUGGAAGGUAAAGAAAGUCCAAGCUAGUUGCAGAAGUAAAACCCAACCACCAAUGGCCUCAAUCCAGUUAUUGUUGUUUUCCUAUUGUAUGCUUCUCCAGAGUGCCUCCAUGAUUUCUACAGCUGUAAUUGGGGGAGGACAGAGGUUGUCAUAUGGCCAGUAUCUUCUGUUUUGUCCUCAACAACUCAAGUACAGAUAGCAGACUAGAGUGCCUCAAUCUGGAAGCACAUUACAUUGGAUAAUAAGAAAUUUAGGUCACAAGUUGAUGGAGGCAGGUGACAAGGGUGCUCUCUUUCUUUCCCUAUCUUCUUGGAAGCAACUACCCACCCAAACCUGAAAUGAGGUUCCUUGGGUGAAGGGUGAUGGCAGAUGGGCCUGGCUUCCUAGUUAUAUGUGUUCAACUGCAAAUGGCAGAUUCAAGUGAGAAUAGCUC